GCAAGUCGAGCGGUAGAAUUAAAUUUGCUUGCUACUUUAAUUUGAGAGCGGCGAACGGGUGAGUAACACGUUGGAAUCUGCCCCCAAGUCAGGGAUAGCCAUUGGAAACGAUGAUUAAUACCGGAUGUGCUCUUCGGAGUAAAGAUUUAUCGCUUGGGGAGGAUCCUGCGGACUAUCAGCUUGUUGGUAAGGUAACGGCUUACCAAGGCUAUGACGGUUAGCUGGUCUGAGAGGAUGAUC
rnacentral:rRNA from 1 species